UGGGGAAUAUUGCACAAUGGAGGGAACUCUGAUGCAGCGACGCCGCGUGAACGAAGAAGGCUUUCGAGUCGUAAAGUUCUUUUAUAUGGGAAGAAAAUGACAGUACCAUACGAAUAAGGACCGGCUAAUUACGUGCCAGCAGCCGCGGUAAUACGUAAGGUCCGAGCGUUGUCCGGAAUCAUUGGGCGUAAAGGGUACGUAGGCGGAUAAGCAAGUUAGAAGUGAAAUCCUAUAGCUCAACUAUAGUAAGCUUUUAAAACUGCUCAUCUUGAGGUAUGGAAGGGAAAGUGGAAUUCCUAGUGUAGCGGUGAAAUGCGCAGAUAUUAGGAGGAAUACCGGUGGCGAAGGCGACUUUCUGGACUUUUACUGACGCUCAGGUACGAAAGCGUGGGGAGCAAACAGG
rnacentral:rRNA from 1 species